rnacentral:rRNA from 1 species
GACGAACGCUGGCGGCGUGCUUAACACAUGCAAGUCGAACGAAAAGAGGGAAAGAGCUUGCUCUUUCCGGAAUUGAGUGGCAAACGGGUGAGUAACACGUAAACAACCUGCCUUCAGGAUGGGGACAACAGACGGAAACGACUGCUAAUACCGAAUAAGUUCCAAGAGCCGCAUGGCCCAUGGAAGAAAAGGUGGCCUCUACCUGUAAGCUAUCGCCUGAAGAGGGGUUUGCGUCUGAUUAGCUGGUUGGAGGGGUAACGGCCCACCAAGGCGACGAUCAGUAGCCGGUCUGAGAGGAUGAACGGCCACACUGGAACUGAGACACGGUCCAGACUCCUACGGGAGGCAGCAGUGGGGAAUCUUCCGCAAUGGGCGAAAGCCUGACGGAGCAACGCCGCGUGAGUGAUGACGGCCUUCGGGUUGUAAAACUCUGUGAUCCGGAACGAAAAGGCAGAGUGCGAAGAACAAACUGCAUUGACGGUACCGGAAAAGCAAGCCACGGCUAACUACGUG